rnacentral:rRNA from 1 species
GACACGGCCCAGACUCCUACGGGAGACAGCAGUUAGGAAUAUUCGUCAAUGGAGGGAACUCUGAACGAGCAAUGCCGCGUGAAGGAUGACGGUCCUUUGGAUUGUAAACUUCUGUUGUUAGGAACGAAAAACUUAAGUAGGAAAUGACUUAAGCUUGACGGUACCUUUCAAGAAAGCUCCGGCUAACUACGUGCCAGCAGCCGCGGUAAUACGUAGGGAGCGAGCGUUAUCCGGAUUUAUUGGGUGUAAAGCGUGUGUAGGCGGUUACUUAAGUCUGUGGUCUAAGCCUGGAGCUCAACUCCAGUUCGCCAUGGAAACUGAGUUACUUGAGUAUGGUAGAGGCAAGUGGAAUUUCUAGUGUAGCGGUGGAAUGCGUAGAUAUUAGAAGGAACACCAGUGGCGAAGGCGGCUUGCUGGGCCAUUACUGACGCUGAGACACGAAAGCGUGGGGAGCGAAUAGGAUUAGAUACCCUAGUAGUCCACGCCGUAAACGAUGGAUACUAAGUGUCGGAGGAUCCGGUGCUGAAGUUAACACAUUAAGUAUCCCACCUGAGUAGUACGGUCGCAAGGCUGAAACUCAAAGGAAUUGACGGGCACCCGCACAAGCGGUGGAGCAUGCUGUUUAAUUCGAAGAUACGCGAAGAACCUUACCUGGGCUUGACAUCCCAGUGAAAGCUUUUGGAAACAAGAGCCCUCCCUUCGGGGACACUGGUGACAGGUGGUGCAUGGUUGUCGUCAGCUCGUGUCGUGAGAUGUUGGGUUAAGUCCCGCAACGAGCGCAACCCUUAUCUUUAAUUGCUAACAUUAAGUUGAGAACCCUAAGGAGACUGCCGGUGACAAACCGGAGGAAGGUGGGGAUGACGUCAAAUCAUCAUGCCCCUUACGUCCAGGGCUACAGGCGUGCUACAAUGGCUAGUAUAAUAAGACGCGAUACCGUGAGGUGGAGCAAAUCUCUAAAGCUAGUCCCAGUCCGGAUUGGAGUCUGCAACUCGACUCCAUGAAGUUGGAAUCGCUAGUAAUCCCGAAUCAGAAUGUCGGGGUGAAUACGUUCCCGGGUGUUGUACACACCGCCCGUCACGCCAUGGGAGUCGAUAAUACCCGAAGUUGGUAGCCUAACCUUUAAGGAGGGGGCCAUCGAAGGUAGGAUCGGCGACUGGGGUGAAGUCGUAACAAGGUAUCCCUACCGGAAGGUGGGGAUG